UACGAAGGGGGCUAGCGUUACUCGGAAUUACUGGGCGUAAAGCGUGCGUAGGCGGUUUGUUAAGUCCGUUGUGAAAGCCCUGGGCUCAACCUGGGAAUUGCAGUGGAUACUGGCGAGCUAGAGUGCGGUAGAGGAUGGUGGAAUUCCCGGUGUAGCGGUGAAAUGCGUAGAUAUCGGAAGGAACAUCAGUGGCGAAAGCGACUUCCUGGACCAAUACUGACGCUCAUGUGCGAAAGCGUGGGGAGCAAACAGG
rnacentral:rRNA from 1 species